rnacentral:rRNA from 1 species
GACGAACGCUGGCGGCGUGCUUAACACAUGCAAGUCGAACGGAAAGGCCCUGCUUGCUGGGUACUCUAGUGGUGAACGGGUGAGUAACACGUGGGGGAUCUGCCCUGCACAUCGGGAUAUGCCUGGGAAACUGGGUCUAAUAACGGGUAGGUGCUAUCCUUAGUGUGAUGGGUGGAAAGUGUUGUAGGUGUAGGAGGAGCUCGCGGCGUAACGGCUUGUUGGUGGGGUAAUGGCUUACCAAGGCGGCGGCGGGUAGCUGGCCUGGGAGGGUGGACGGCCACAUUGGGACUGAGGGGCGGCCCAGGCUCCGAAUGGUGGGAGAAGGGGGGAAGCUUGCACAAGGGGCGCAAGCUUAGUGCAGAGACGCCGCGUGGGGGAUGACGGCCUUCGGGUUGUAAACUCCUUUUGCUAGGGACGGAGCUUUUUAUGACGGUACCUGGAGAAGAAGCACCGGCUAACUACGUG